rnacentral:rRNA from 1 species
UGAGGAAUAUUGGGCAAUGGAGGGAACUCUGACCCAGCCAUGCCGCGUGAGUGAAGAAGGCUUUCGGAUUGUAAAGCUCUUUCGGAUGUGACGAUGAUGACGGUAGCAUCUAAAGAAGCCCCGGCUAACUUCGUGCCAGCAGCCACGGUAAUACGAAGGGGGCAAGCGUUGUUCGGAAUUACUGGGCGUAAAGGGAGUGUAGGCGGCAUAGUAAGUCAUAUGUGAAAGCCCGCAGCUUAACUGCGGAGUUGCAUAAGAAACUAUUGAGCUAGAGUGCAGGAGAGGCAAGCGGAAUUCCUAGUGUAGCGGUGAAAUGCGUAGAUAUUAGGAAGAACACCGGUGGCGAAGGCGGCUUGCUGGACUGUAACUGACGCUGAGUCACGAAAGCGUGGGGAGCGAACA